CGGGAGCAAGGUAAGACCAUCACACGGUGCCUCUAACAAGUGAUUUUCCAUUCUAUACCUAUUAUAAUCCAAGGAUAUAAAUAAAAAGAAUAAUGAAUCAAAUAGCGGUCAAUCUUAUCAUCCAGUCGGCUAAAAUGACCCUAAUCAACACUGAUGUCUCUCACAACAUUGAAGACCUCACACCAGAGAAAGAACAGUUAAUAUCGGAGAUUGCCAGGAAGUAUAAAUGCGAAGUACGGUGACUACAGAAGAUGUACUGAGGAAUAGAACAUAAAAGAGCCAGUAUAAAACCCAUGGCACUCAUCACAUGGCCGCAUUUGAAGUAAUGGAAGUGCCAAUUUUGUGAAAGACAACACCCUCGUGAAAUCUGUUGCCAUAAGCUGUGUUAAUAAUAUAAAAAUUAACUUCCUGGGACAAUGUUCAUCGCUGUGUUAAUAAUAUAAAAAUUAACUUCCUGGGACAAUGUUCAUCUUCGCAUAGCCACACAAACACCUACUGCAGUGAAAAAUAACUAGAAAACCAACUGACAAAGUAAUGAAACUAAACAAAUUAUUUAUUUAAAAAAGAAUUUGACACAGAUUACAGACAUGAAAAAGAAGCUAAAAACAGAACAA